rfam:Sphingobacterium faecium PCAi_F2.5 genome assembly, contig: Scaffold56
GGCAACGGACUUUGACUCCGUCAUGCGUUGGUUCGAAUCCAGCUACCCCAG